UUGGCUACCUGCUUUCCGGCC
rnacentral:misc_RNA from 1 species